UCCACAGCAUCAUCAUGGGUUCUCAACAAGGAAUGUAUCUGGGGGGAUGUUACUGAGUCCUGAAAUACCCAUGUGUCUGCAGGCCUUACUCCUAGAUGAAUCAAGAUGAUGUCCGCACAUGAGAAAGGGCUCCCUUGUUUUUGUUCGGUGUGUGUUUAUUCAGUGCUCUAGGUACCCGUGGGUGAAAGCAGAUGUCAUCGCAUCUCUGGGUCGGCGUCUCCAGUUGGCAAAGGAGGCUUGGGCCAUCCGCUGCAGUUUUGUGUGUUGAGGAGCCAUUGUGUCAUCUAUCGCACCUUCGUAUCUUGAGGUGAAAAGCCCUGGGCUCCUCCAGGGUCCUCUUAAAAUGCAGCUAUAUGAUGACACCUCAGUGAGUACCUAGAGUUUCUGGGUUCCUUUGGGAGAGGAACCAUCCUCAGGACCAGAAAGACACCUGCGGACAGGCAGUGCAGAGUGUCCAAAGGCCCGCCUUCCCUUUUCCCCAGGUGUGCACGUGGCCGGGCUUGGUGCCACCCGCUCUCCUCAAAGCUCACUAGGUUUGGGAGCUGGGAACCUGAGCAGAAAGCGUGGCGGUGCUGUUUAGCCUGUUGGCUGAUCUUUGGCUGCUCCACUCCUGUCUCUAGUUGGUAAUUUUCUCAUUGGUAAAACGGAAGGACUAGUAUCUAUCGCACAGAGUGUUUCCCAGGGCUGUGUUAGCUGAGUGCAUGGUGCGAGAGUGUGAUGGCAUUAUCUUCCCCCUAGUUUUGAUGAAAACUGGCUGGUUUUUGUUGAAGGGGGAUUGUACCUAUUUGAAUGAUACCUUUUUAGAAAUAAAUUCAUUCCAUACGUUUUAUUAAUUAAUGGAGUUUUUCUAAUUUUCAGAAGAGAGACGUGUUUUUUUUCUUUCUAUGGUACGCAUUUGUCUUCUAGUGAAAUCUCAGAUAUAGUCUGUAGAAAGGUGGUCGUCACAUCAGCUUCAAACAUUACUACCAGUAUUGCCCCGUGUACCACACGGAGUGUCACAGCAUGCCUGGAGAGGGCAUGCCUAGUGCAAGAUUUCUCUCCCGUUUCUGAAAACUCUUGGGAUGCGCUCUUAGGGAAGGUUAUAAAUCAUUCUUUGAGAGAGUGGGGCGGGAAGGAAAGAGGAGGAGGAGGAGGAUGUCCACCCAGGUAGCUGGCCAGAGGGAGCGAGGUUUUGAAGGCACACAAAUCAGGGUUGUAUCGGGGGAGAAGGCGAGACUUUGUAGUUGUCAGAUGUCUUCCCAACACACCCUGUGAAGCUCUUCUCAGCUUUCAGGUAGGCUGGAUACUCAAGGGAGCUUACACUGUGCGUCAGAACUCCACACUCUGACCUAUCACGUUAUUGUCUUCAGAAGAUGGCAAAUUACUUAUUGAGUCCUGAAAAAAUAACAGUUCUGUUUUAUAAACCUAGGUGGGAAAGUAAUGGUUGGAAACAGGCAUAACAAAUGUUUUGGAAUGUGUUGGAAACACACAUAACAAAUGUGUGGAUUUCUCAAAGGGAUGAUCUGUGGUCUGGUCACCUGGGUCUAGGGUGGGAGUCCUUUUCUUUGUCCUUUCUGUAGAUGCUCGUCUCAGCCCAUUCUUCUCGAGGCCCGUUCUGGGAUCUGUGCCUGCCGGACGAGGCAGUGUGGCAGGCGAGGGGUGCGGAGAGCUUUCUGUUGGCGUGAAUUGGCCCCGAGUGCCGUGGUUUUGGCCCUUGCUCCUCGAUACACACCAUCUACUAGAGAUGGUUUUGAAUUAUUCAAAUCUGGACCUCAGCAAAAUAGCUACACUUAAAUGGAGAUUGCAGAAGAGGAGAUUGGAUUUUCCCCCCCCCUGAGAUUUUAAAUGCAAGGAAAAUAGAACUUUUUGAAUUAAUGAAUUGUUUGAAGCAGUGGGGGGGGUCUCCCCAUUUGUUCUAGCUUUACAAAAUUAAAUCUAUUUUCUGAACUGUCUGGUGGGAAAAUAUUUUUAAGGGAGAUAAUUUCUGAAAAUGUCUUUGUGGUAAGCUGUUAGUGGUUGUGAAUUUUUUUUUUAAUACUGCAGUUUAAUAAUGAGGGAGUUUUCCAUUAAUAUUCCAAACCAUGUUUGCCAGCGGAUACAGCAGGUGAAGUGGUAAAAUUAUGGGCCCAUCAAAAAUACUUAUGCUUCCUGUAAUAUGAUAUUAAGUUUAAUAUUUUUAUAACCUUCACUGAAUUCUAAUUCCACUAAAGUAGCGAGCAUGCUUCCAUUUGCAGUUCAAUUAUGCACAUUGGUUGCCUUUGUACCAAGCAAAUUAGAAAUGCAAAAUACCUGUGGGGGGGGGGGAGGCGUUGGAAAGAGUCAUUAAAGAUACCAAUAUUUAGGUACAGAUACACUUUACUAAGUGUACCCUGGGAAUUGAAAAUGGAUUAAAGACAAACAGAAAUUUAGUGUCUGCAUCUGUAUUUUAAAUUAAAAUUCAAAGAAUUAAGGAGCAGUAUUCACUCCUGACAUAUAGCCCUUUUCAGCACUUAUUUCAAUCACAUUUUAAAGCAUAAAGUUCUUCCAGUAAAAUCCUAAGGAGAGAGAAUGAAUAUCAGCAACUCUUCUUGGAUGGAAACAUUGGUCAAUUAAUGUAAUUGGGUAGUAUCGCCAUUGAUAAUUAAUCCUUUUAAGGUUUUGCUGACUCAGUUUCACGGAGCUGCUUGCUUGCCCUGGACCAGUCAACCUUGGGCUGCGGCUUUUAGGUGAUUAGCACCAGCAUAUAAGUGCACUGCCCUUAGAGAGAGAAGUCAGCCAUUCAUCUGUCAAGUGCUGAUAGUAGGAGCUAAAUUUGGGGGCUUUGGGCAUCUUAACAGCAGCAUUCUUCUUCGUUUGAUCACUUGCUUUGGAAGUCUCUGAUAAGCGAACUCUUUUAUAAAUGGUUUUCAUGAACCAAGUUUAUUGCUCUCAGAUAAGAACAGCUCACAUUUAUACUUAAAAGAUGUCUUUAAUCUUUUUCACCAGAUGAGAGAUUCUGGUGUUUUACAAAAGGAAAUAAACAAGAAUUCAGCCUAAUUAUGUUUUUUAAGAUUUGUUUUUCAAAGUUUACUGUAAUAUGGAAGUUUCUUAAGAAGAAUCCUGUGUUUCUCUUUUUAGGAGUAUGACACGAUUUAUUUAUUCUUUACAUUUUCAAAGAGCAGGAUCAAGAGGACCUGUCAGGGACACUGAGUCUGCCUCACUUCGUGGAAGGCAGCUUCAGCUUUCUGCAGAGUCACUGAGGAGCAAAAAAUUAACGAGCAGCCAAAAGUAACGUUCUUUUUACUCAUGAUAGUUUCUUGGAUAUUUAUACCCCUGAGCGCCUCGACUGGACUCUCUUGUUUACUCUUACUUUAAACUCGCCGUUAGCCUUGUCCUUGUGUUCAGCGCAUCACAGGCUGGAAUGAGGUCAGAGGGCUUUGGGAAGUGGCCACAGUGAAGGGCUGGACAGGAAUACCACAAAGAGCAAGUGGGGGAGAGGAUUGGAAACCACAGCCAGGAUCUGGGAUUACUUAAGCUUCAGGGCAGACCGUUCUCCAUAUUUCACUUAAUCCAUCUCAGGAGCCAUAGCUUCUAGGUCUUUCUCAGAUUGUGUAUGAUGGGUGUUCGUAAUCCCCAGAGUAAUCACGAAAAGGCUAUGUUGUAUUCCGUCGUGAAGUAUUAUAGGAGACAGGAAAGCAUGUUGGAGUUUGUAAAACCAUGUGUAUUUUAAAGGAUAUUUGUAAAAAAGAGUGAAUGAGCCCUGUGUUUUGGCCAGUGCCUGCAUCUGGCACAUCUCAUCUUCUAGUGACGCCGAGGUACAUUUGUACUAGUCUCUGCACAAAUAAAUUAACGAGACAAUGGGAGUUUGUUAUCUAAGAUGCGCUGUGCUGAGUUGGAAAAUCCUAUAGAGAACACAGAGACAAUUCAGUGUUAACUUAUUUAUAAAUAGAUAAAAUUAUUUGUCUGCUAGAUUCCUAGUUCCAUCAGUAGUUCCAUCCUAUCUGUGGAUAGGCAGAGUCCCAGAAAGCAGUUAUGGUUUCAACGCUUUGAGAAUCCUAACAGAAGGAUACAUUGACUCAUGAUAAGGGUGCUUAAGUCUCUUAAGCUGAUCGUGAGCUCUGACUUGUUUCUGAUUAGCUUAGAAAAGCAGAGCGGUGACCACUUUACUACGCCACAAAUGCGGUUUGGGAGAGAAUAGCCUUGUUUGUGUACAGGUGAUACAAAAGGAGGGAGAGAGGGAGAAGGAGACGCGAUGGGGAGAUUGGAAACUAUGUCCUAACCCAUGGGUACGAGGAUGACUGGCUCCGGGAGGUAGAAGAGAAGGGAAGCCAGACGGUUGAGGGUUGAAAAGGGCUUUCUCUCUUCGUGCUGCCCCAAUGAGGUUUCUAGAGGGAACGUGAUUCAGGUGUGCUUUGAAUGUUGGAAGGGAAGAAGGUGCACACCCGGAGCGUGAGACACCAGAACAGGGAGUCCUGCUCCCGGUCUGAUUGGGUAGAGGGGCAGACGCGUGGGAAGGAGCUUAGGCAUCUUCACGUCAACAAUGUCCACUGGUAGGAUAAGGUUCCCAAAUAAGAAUGAGGGUGUGAGAUAGCAUUCUGGUGGCAGCCCCAGUGUUAGGCGAUGUAUCGAACUUGCGUUCUCGGGGUGUGGUCCCUGGGCCGGCAGAAUCAGUACCAUGUUGGAAACACACGUUCACGGCCCCACCCCAAGUCUGUUGAAUCAGAAGCUCUGGAGGUGGGGUCCUGCCACCUGUGUUGUAACAAGAACUCCAGGUGAUUCUGAUGUAUGCUGAACCUUGAGACGCCCUCAUUGCCAAGUCAGAUUAGUGGGUUCAGCCCUGGCAGGUUGGUGUAUUGAGGUGUGAGUAGGGCAGGAAGACCCAGAGAGACAUGCCAGGUGCGGCCAACGUGAUAAGAAGAGGCUUGGGUCAUGACAGAGCACCCUGUGUGGGUGUGGGCACAUGGCCAACACACGUGCAUCCGUGUUGUGGGUUCAGACCAGGAAAUCUGAGGAGACCGGGAGGAGUUGAACUGAUUGUCUCUUACUUGGGAGAGAGGGUUGUUCUGUAGGAGGGUUUUGGUCUGAGGAAUAUGGUGAGGGUGAGUAGGGUGUGUAGGGGGGAGAUUACAUUUGUAGGGUUAUAGGGGCUGUGCAGGGUGACUUGAUUUGGAAGAGAAACUGGGAGGAAGGGAGAAGAUCUCUUAGGUGGAGAAAUCUAGAUGUCCGUGGAGGCCUGAGCUGAGAUUUGGUCACAUAAAUGAGGAGAGAGACAUCUUGAUGGUAAGAUGAUGAGAUCAGGGGUGCCUGGGUGGCUUAGGCGGUUGAGCAUCUGACUCUUGGUUUCAGGUCGGGUCAUGAUGGCAGUGAGGACGGAGCCUGCUUGGGAUUCAUUCAUCCUCUCUCUCUCUCUCUUUCUCUCUUUCUGUCCCUCUCUGCCCCUCUUCCCCGCUUGCACUCUUCUCUCUCUAAACUAAAAAGAAAAAAAGAAAAAAGAAAAGAUUCUGAGAUUAAAAAAUAAUAAAGCAUGUGCCGUGGUGCUUGCAAGACUUUCAUUCGCUUGCUCUGUUCGCACCGUGAUGCAGACGAAAGUGAAUGUGUAACUUGCCUGGCUUCUCCCGGGAAGCUUUUGUCCUGUGCUCAGUCAGCUCGUCACUUCUCUGAGGGGUGUGUGUGGUAAGUGGCAUAUAUUCUGCAUUUCUUCUCUUCUGAAGAAAGUCUGAUCUUACUGACCCUCUCUUUUAUGACCCCCGAAGGCCCUUUCCCAGCAGGACCCCGCUUUUGCCAUCUGUGACACAGCCGACAUUGUUUCAUAAAGCGUUAAUGUUGGUGAAUGGUGAGCGGUCUCCUGGUAACCGGCUUCUUUUUAAUGUAGUAUCAGCACAUACAUUUUAAAAGUAGGAUAGAUGGUUCGUUUAAGAGGGUUUUAUCAUCAGUGUCUCCGAUAUUCAAGUGAAAUAAAUUAAGUUAAUGGGAAGCUCUUUUAUAGCCUGUCACGGAAAAAAGUACAUAAUUUCUGUCACCAUUUGCAUGUAUGGAGCUGAAAGAACAAACGAUUAACAACAUUUAUUCUGUCAUGUUCUCAUAAAGUUCCAGCUAAUAGGGAACAGCAAAUUGAACCGGGCAGGACAUGGUGGUAGCUGAGAAAUACAAACUUUCUGGCGUGAGUUGGGGGCAGUGGUGGACAGGCUGUGGGUUCUGGGCACAGCGAGGGUUCACGAAGCUUCUCGAGGUCUGGGUGGACACUUGCUGUCCUCUCCAGCUGCUGAUUGCGAACCCACGAGGAAAGGAGAGCUGGUCGGUGGCAGGUGGAAGGGGGACCGUUGCCGGGGGGGAGGGGCUGAGCGCCACUUGGACCCUGAGUCUCCUGGAGGCCCGCCAGCAGGUCGUGGUUUUCACUCACGGUGUCGCGCUUCCAGCUCGCCGGCCUCGCUAGUGCGUGGGGCACGUGUGUUUCCAUUUCACGAGUCCCACCCUUCGGAGGGGUCAUCUGGCCUGCCACCUGCGGCUGUCUCCCUGUGCUCUUUCGGGGUGAUUUGCUCACCGCCCGUCCCCGCUGCGUUUGUUGUCACGUUCGUGUUGAACUCGGGUCCGAACGUCAGGGAUACCUUGUAGUGCUUCUUUCAGACCACACCGUGGCAGCCUGGGAGGUAGGAUGUUCUCUAGGCCUGCGGUUGUGCUGGGGACGUCUGUGACGUCUGAGGGUGGCAGGGGAUCUCCGCACCCUUCCGCAGAGGUGGAGCGAGCAGCCGCGAGGAGGUUUGGUUAGCGGAGCACGGGGGGGCCCCGGACCCCUUCCCGUGGUGGGUGUGCUCGCGUGGGCGCUCCUGUCUUCACCCAAGGCCUGGGUACGUGCUGGAGCUCACGGCUCGGUUUGUGUGAAGUGACUUUCUCUUGUAUGUAUUUACUUUUAAGUAAUCUCUACACCCAGCCUGGGGCUCGAACUCACAACCUGGAGAUCGGGACUCGCACGCUCCGCCCGCUGAGCCAGCCAGGCACCCGGGUUGCUUCUCUCUUUUAAACCGCACUUUCUCCCAAGAGGCACGACACAAAGCUGCCGGUGCCUCACUUGAAUGAUUUAGCCAGAUCAUUUUCCUGCUGGAGGGGCACGUGAGGCAGCUUGUUAGGAAUAAUGGCACUCGGCCUUUUGGUCUCAAGACUCUUUUAUACUCCUAGGAACUGAAGACCCAAUGAACUUUUUCAUUUGUGGGUUGUAUCAGUAUUUAUCAUAUUAUACAUUGAAGUGAGACAUUUUAAGCAUACUCAUUCAUUUAAUAACAUUAGUAAGUCACUUACAUGCUAACAGUGACAUUUUCAAUGAAAAAUAACUUCAAAAAUUUAGUGAAAAGCCUGGCAUUAUCUGGCAUGUUUUGUAACUCUCCUUCAUGUCUGGCUCGGUAGAGGGCGGGCUGAACUCUCCCAUCUGCUUUUGCAGUUAGUGUGUUACAGUGUGUUGUUCUGGUGAAUGUAUGUGAAGAGAAACCACUUUACACACGUGUGGUUCAGGAAGGGAAGAGUAUCUUCAGCAGCCUGUCCAGAUAAUUCUGGACAUUGUGCUUUUAAUACUACACCAAAACUUGACAAGGGGCACUUUUCUUCAAGUUUGGUAUAGUGUGGAAUCUGAAGCCAUGUCAGUGAGCUACUUGAACUUUGCUUCACUAAAAUGUGUUGGUCUCUCCUUGCACUUGGAAUGGGCUUUUGAAUACCGAAUAUUAGCAGAGUCAUGCAGAUCUUCCAAAUGCUGACAUACUUCAUGACACAGCAUCAAAAAGUUGCUGAUCUCAUCAGAAAAGUCUUGAAGUGUUAGGGAAACUGAGCUCUUGAUGGCAGAUACCAGCUUUCCAAGAGCCUCAUUUUUGGUACAAAGCUUGGAUUUUCUCGUUGGCACCAGCUAUUGAAAGUCGUUUUCCUUGAAGGGACAGGCACGCUUCGUUUUCGAGACGAUGUCUGCCGUCCAGCCAGGUCUGCGUGGCCGUGGUUUUUCUGUCGAUUGUUCUUUCGAGAAAGUGGUGUUCCGUGAGAAAGUCCUAGCUCUGCUCACGACCCAGACAGUUGUACGGCCGCUUUCCUGGGACAGCGGGUGCCGCGCGCGCAUUCGCAUUUCAUUGCGCCGAGUGUUCGGAUGUGUCGUCAGGGGUCGAGGUUUAGUAAAAUUAGUGAUGGUUAUGGCUUCGUCCAGGAUAUUAAUAAGUGAAAAUGGCCUUUAAAAAACCCUGCCGGUGUGCAGGACACCUGACACGGAGACCCCGCCCCGUGCUGCUUCUGCUCUGCUUUUGGGCCGGCCGGCCCUGUGGAUCUCAGCAUCCCCGCACCGGCACGGGGACGAACGUCUUGGGAUUACCACGACCACGCCGUUGACCUGCUGGAUCACCUCUUGGCCGGGUGUGGAAUCUGACUCUGGAAGCGAGGCCAGUGUUGGCAUGCCGGCCGUGGGGUCUGAGGGAGACCAGUCAGCCUUUCUCAGCCCUUGUCUGGGGGGAAGCACGGGCUUCUUGGGUGGGUUGUCGCGAGGACCGAAUGGGAGAAGUAAUGAAAGCGUGCCUUCUGCGGUGCCUGGUAGGGAGUAGGCACCGGCGCGGCUGUCUUUCUUUCCUUCCUGGGACCUUGUGACGCCACCUGAGCGGUGGGGGCGGGGAGGUGGAAAGGUCAGUCUUGCCCUAGCGCAGGCCUAGAAUCCACAUGCGGGUCUCUUGGCUCUUACUUCUCACUUGCCCUGUUUCCAGGAUUGGGGACAAGAAGGAAAGGGAACAGCAGGUCUCUCUGAGGCUGUUUGUGGGUGGAAAGGCGUUCUCAGAUUCUCUGGACCCGUCUGUCCGUUGUGUACAUGUGAUCCACCGUAGCUUGAACUAAAAGGCCAGCUUCUCUGAGAUGAGCAGUGUCUUCUGAUUGCUGUCGUCUCCUGAGCACUGGGGGCUCUUUACAGAUCAUUCUGGUUCAGCCUCAUCGGUCUCCAUGGUGGAGGAUGAUGGGGGCCGUUCACAGCUGAGAAAGUGCCGUCUCAAGGGCGAGGCAGUUUUUGCUCCUGGAGCCUGUGAGCUGCUGGAAAUCUGAGUGUGGUCUAGGACACAGUUCUCUCCCUUCCUGUCCUGACAGAAUAGCAAAGCAUGACUUUGUCACAGCCAAGUGAAACCGGAAAUUCUCAAAACCUGAUUCACAUUACUUUUUAACAAUGAACAUCUGACAGUAGUUUGCAGACUGACCCAGCUUCAAAAAAGGUUGACAGCCCCCGUCCAAGAAGGAUGACGGUACCUGUGGAGACAUUGGCUCCUUAGUUUAUAAUGUGGGUUUUCCUCAUUGUGG